rnacentral:rRNA from 1 species
AGAGUUUGCUUCUGGCUCAGGAUGAACGCUGGCGGCGUGCCUAACACAUGCAAGUCGAACGGGGCGCGGCGGCUGAGACUUUUCUUGAGCGGAAGCCGGCGCUGCCCAGAGGCGGACGGGUGAGUAACGCGUGGGCAACCUGCCCUGCACUGGGGGACAACAGCCGGAAACGGCUGCUAAUACCGCUUAUGCCCGCAGCCCUGCAUGGGGCGACGGGGGAAGCUCCGGCGGCUGCAGGAUGGGCCCGCGUCUGAUUAGCUGGUUCGGCGGGGCGACGGCCCACCAAGGCCACGAUCAGAAGCCGGCCUGACAGGGUGGGCGGCCACCUUGGGACUGACACACGGCCCAGACUCCUACGGGAGGCAGCGGUGGGGAAUAUUGCCCCAUGGGGGAAACCCUGAUGCAGCGACACCGCGUGAGCGAUGAAGUAUCUUGGUAUGUAAAGCUCUAUCAGCCGGGAAGAAAGUGACAGAACCUGACUAAGAAGCCCCGGCUAACUACGUGCCACCACCCGCGGAAAUACCUAGGGGGCACGCGUUAUCUCGAUUCUCUGUGGGUAAAGGGAGCGCAGGCGGCAUGGCACGUCUGGUGUGAAAACCCGGGGCUCUCCCCUCCGGAGUGCAUUGGAAACUGACUGGCGGUGAGUGCUGAAGAGGACAGUGGAACUCCAUGUGUAGCGGUGGAAUGCGUAGAUAUAUGGAAGAACCCCCGUGGCGAAGGCGGCUGUCUGGUCUGCAACUGACGCUGAGGCUCGAAAGCAUGGGUAGCGAACAGGAUUAGAUACCCUGGUAGUCCAUCCCGUAAACGAUGAGUGAUAGGUGUGGAGGGUCUCCGCCUCUUCAGUGCCGGAGCUAACGCAUUAAGCACUCCGCGUGGGGAGUGCGACCGCAAGGUUGAAUCUCAAAGGAAUUGGCGGGGGCCCGCACAAGCGGUGGCGCAUGGGGUUUUAUUAGGCGAUACGCGAAGCACCUUCCCAGGUCUUGAUAUCUUGCGCUAACUUUAGAGAUAAGGCGUUCCCUUCGGCGACGCAAUCACAGGUGGCGCAGGGUCGUCGUCAGCUCGUGUCGUGAGAUGUUGGGUUUAGUCCCGCAACGAGCGCAACCCUUGUUACUAGUUGCCAGCAUUAAGUUGGGCACUCUAGUGAGACUGCCGGUGACAAACCGGAGGAAGGUGGGGACGACGUCAGAUCAUCAUGCCCCUUAUGACCUGGGCUACACACGUGCUACAAUGGACGGUACAACGAGUCGCAAGCUCGCGAGAGUAAGCUAAUCUCUUAAAGCCGUUCUCAGUUCGGACUGUAGUCUGCAACUCGCCUACACGAAGUCGGAAUCGCUAGUAAUCGCGGAUCAGCAUGCCGCGGUGAAAAGGUUCCCGGGCCUUGCACA